rnacentral:rRNA from 1 species
UACGUAGGGUGCAAGCGUUAAUCGGAAUUACUGGGCGUAAAGCGUGCGCAGGCGGCUUUGCAAGACAGAUGUGAAAUCCCCGGGCUCAACCUGGGAACUGCAUUUGUGACUGCAAGGCUAGAGUACGGCAGAGGGGGAUGGAAUUCCGCGUGUAGCAGUGAAAUGCGUAGAUAUGCGGAGGAACACCAAUGGCGAAGGCAAUCCCCUGGGCCUGUACUGACGCUCAUGCACGAAAGCGUGGGUAUCAAACAGG